CCUACGGGAGGCAGCAGUAAGGAAUAUUGGUCAAUGGACGCAAGUCUGAACCAGCCAUGCCGCGUGAAGGAUUAAGGCCCUCUGGGUUGUAAACUUCUUUUAUAGGGGACGAAAAAAGGGCAUUCUUGCUCACUUGACGGUACCCUAGGAAUAAGCACCGGCUAACUCCGUGCCAGCAGCCGCGGUAAUACGGAGGGUGCAAGCGUUAUCCGGAUUUACUGGGUUUAAAGGGUGCGUAGGUGGGUUGGUAAGUCAGUGGUGAAAUCUUCGAGCUUAACUCGGAAACUGCCAUUGAUACUAUCAAUCUUGAAUCAUCUAGAGGUAAGCGGAAUAUGUCAUGUAGCGGUGAAAUGCUUAGAUAUGACAUAGAACACCAAUUGCGAAGGCAGCUUACUAUGGAUGUAUUGACACUGAGGCACGAAAGCGUGGGGAUCAAACAGGAUUAGAUACCCUGGUAGUCCACGCCCUAAACCGAUGGAUACUCGACAUUUGUGAUAUACUAUAAGUGUCUGAGCGAAAGCAUUAAGUAUCCACCUGGGAAGUAACGACCGCAAGGUUGAAACUUCAAAGGAAUUGACGGCUGAGACGNGCGAGCGACGACGAGGAGGAGG
rnacentral:rRNA from 1 species